CAGGUAUUGGAUCAGGAGACAAAUUAAGUGUUUCACCGAAAGGCCGUCCGUAUAUUGAAAUAUUGUAGUGUACUCGAUUAGCUUCUAAUCUUAAGUCUUGUUGAUCAUUCAUUUGAGAGGCUUGAUCAUUGUGUAGCUAGGUACUCGAUUAGCUUCUAAUCUUGGUUCUCUGUUCUAAUUUUUGCUCGUCUGUUUCUUUCGUUUCGUGCUUUAGAUGUGUAUCGACUAAUCGAUUUCCGUUUAGGGGGCUUAACUGUCGAAGAUGUUCUCUAAAAAUGGACAAAUUGAAGAAAAUGGCUGCU